rnacentral:rRNA from 1 species
UACGUAGGGGGCGAGCGUUGUCCGAAGUUACUGGGCGUAAAGCGCGCGUAGGCGGUCUCUUAAGUCCGGGGUGAAAGGUUCAGCGCUCAACGCGAACAGUGCCCUGGAGACUGGGGGACUUGAGUGUGGGAGGGGGCAGUGGAAUUCCGGGUGUAGCGGUGAAAUGCGUAGAUAUCCGGAGGAACACCGAUGGCGAAGGCAGCUGCCUGGCCUGACACUGACGCUGAGGUGCGAAAGCGUGGGGAGCAAACAGG